GAUGAACGCUAGCGGCAGGCUUAAUACAUGCAAGUCGAGGGGCAUCAAGGUACACGAAAGUGUAUUGUUGGCGACCGGCGGACGGGUGAGUAAUAGGUAGGUAACCUACCUCAUACUGAGGCAUAGCUGGGAGAAAUUCCAGGUAAUUCCUCAUGAGGUUAUAUGACACAUGUGAUAUAAUCAAAGGUAUCGCAAGGUACUGGUAUGAGAUGGGCUUACUGACCAUUAGCUAGUUGGUGAGAUAAGAGCUCACCAAGGCGAAGAUGGUUAGGGGUUUUGAGAGAGAGAUCCCCCACAUUGGAACUGAGAUACGGUCCAGACUCCUACGGGAGGCAGCAGUAGGGAAUAUUGGGCAAUGGGCGGAAGCCUGACCCAGCCAUGCCGCGUGCAGGAAGAAGGCCUUCGGGUUGUAAACUGCUUUUGUACGGAACGAAACGGUCCUUUUUAAUACAGGGGGCUAAUGACGGUACCGUAAGAAUAAGCACCGGCUAACUACGUG
rnacentral:rRNA from 1 species